rnacentral:rRNA from 1 species
UGAGCAAUCUGCCCUUCUCUUUGGAAUAAGCGUUGGAAACGACGUCUAAUGCCGAAUACGACCUCCUUUCGCAUGAUCGGAGGUGGAAAGCUCCGGCGGAAAAGGAUGAGCUCGCGGCCUAUCAGCUAGUUGGUGUGGGUAAUGGCCCACCAAGGCGACGACGGGUAGCUGGUCUGAGAGGAUGGCCAGCCACAUUGGGACUGAGACACGGCCCAGACUCCGUAGGGAGG